rnacentral:lncRNA from 1 species
AUCAUUAGCGUGUGUUUUGAAAAUCUUUUAUUCAAAAGUAUACAUAACAAUUUUAGAUUAUCUUGAUCACAGUGAAAUAAGGAUCAAAUCUCCAGAGAUUCUUGAAUCUGAUGACUCACGAGGCCAGAAAGCACAGGGCCUCAACUUCAUGCGCACACCAAGCUCUAUAGGGAUAAGGGAUGAUCUUCUUUGCUUCACACCUUCAAAAGAGGC